GCCUUCGUGGUGUAAUGGUCAUCACAUUCGGCGCGUAUUCAUAAGGUCCUGGGUUCGAGUCCCUGCGAAGACA
rnacentral:tRNA from 1 species